GAAGCCCCCUGUUUUUUUCUUUUUAAGAAAAUGUCAAUUAUAUAAAAAGUGUCUGGACUGAACAGACCCAGGGAUGCCUCCAUGCUCCAGCCUCUGCAACCAUCCUCCAACCUUUUUUCCAGUUGCAACCUUCAGAAUCAGCCACUGGCACCAGCCAACACCAUUUUUUGGCCUCAACUCCUUACAAACAUGACCUCCCAGAUUCGUCAGAAUUAAUAUGCACGUGUGGGCCUCCCACACCUACCUCUCUCUGGGCUUCUAUUUCCACCAUGACUAUGUGGCCCUGGAGGGCGUGGGGCACUAUAUCCACGAACUGGCCAAGGAGAAUCGCAAGGGCACCGCAGGACCGUCUCUUGAAAAUGCAAAACCAUCGUGGCAGCCACACCCUCUUCCAGGAUGUGCAGAAGCCACCUCAAGAUGAGAGGGGUAAACCCAGGAUGUUAUGGAAGUUGCUGUACUCAUGGCAAACAACCUGAACCAGGCCCUUUUGGAUCUGCAUGCCCUGGGUUCUGCCCGUGCAGACCCCCACCUCUGUGACUUCCUGGAGAGCCACUUCCUAGAUGAGGAGGUGAAACUCAUCUAGAAACUGGGCGACCACCUGACCAACAUCUGCAGGCUGGCUGGUCCCCAGGCUGGGCUGGGUGAGUAUCUCUUCGAAAGGCUUAAAAGGCUUAACCGCAAGCAUGACUAGGAGCCUCUGAAGCCCAGAAACAUUUGAGGAGCCCCUCUGGUGUCCGGGCUUCUACCUGAAGUCCCACUCUGCAGCCUCUAGGCAGCUUUUUAACCGCCCUGGAACCCUCUCCCAAGCCUUGGACCAAAUGAAAACAGUAAAGCGUUUUGCAGAAAAAGAAAAAAGAAAAAAGAGAAAAAGCUAAGUGAGUAAAUGCUAAGAUUUUCUUCAUCACAAGGAAAAACAUUUUUUCUGUUUAAUUUCAUAUCUCAAGAGAUGAUGGAUGUUCACUAAACUUUUUGUGCUAAUCAUUUCAUGAGACCUGAACUAUAAAAAGGAGAUAACCAUGCAGAGAUCUGGGGACAGAGGGAAGAGAAAGACUCUCGUGAAAGGAAAGUAAAAAUGGAGUCAGCAUUGCUAAGAGAGCUCUCUAAAAUGGAGCCAGGAGGCCAUUAAGGAAGUAUGGCUUAUGCACAUCUCAGUCUGGAUGGAAUCUGACCUUUUGACCUGAUGAAGUAAUCCAGAACACCUGCCAGAAACCCAAGAUACUUAUUGGAUCCUUACCCUAAAAUAACUCGUGAUAGUCUAUCUAAUUAUUGGACUCCUAUCGUAAAACAACUUGUAAUUCCUAAGGACAAAUAUUUUCUGACUCAUAUCAGAGUGAAUCACAAUUCUUGCCAGGCAACUUUUAACAGCCUUGUCCUUUUGUCUUUAUAAGCUCCUGACCCUUUCUCUUCCUCAGAACUCUCCUUUGGGUUCACCUGAAUCUGUGUCUCUCGAAUUGCAGUUCUUAAGACCCCAAAUAAACUCCUUUCUUAUUUGGA